UUGACGGAGAGUUUGAUCCUGGCUCAGGACGAACGCUGGCGGCGUGCCUAACACAUGCAAGUCGAACGAAGAUUGCCUUCGGGUAAUACUGAGUGGCGAACGGGUGCGUAACACGUGAGGAACCUGCCCCGAAGACUGGGACAACCACGGGAAACUGUGGCUAAUACCAGAUGCCCUCCGCUGGUCGCAUGAUCGGCAGAGGAAAUGCUCCGGCGCUUCGGGAGGGUCUCGCGGCCUAUCAGCUAGUUGGUGAGGUAACGGCUCACCAAGGCAUCGACGGGUAGCUGGUCUGAGAGGACGAUCAGCCACACUGGGACUGAGACACGGCCCAGACUCCUGCGGGAGGCAGCAGUGG
rnacentral:rRNA from 1 species